GACGAACGCUGGCGGCGUGCCUAAUACAUGCAAGUCGAACGCUUCUUUUUCCACCGGAGCUUGCUCCACCGGAAAAAGAGGAGUGGCGAACGGGUGAGUAACACGUGGGUAACCUGCCCAUCAGAAGGGGGUAACACUUGGAAACAGGUGCUAAUACCGUAUAACAAUCGAAACCGCAUGGUUUUGAUUUGAAAGGCGCUUUCGGGUGUCGCUGAUGGAUGGACCCGCGGUGCAUUAGCUAGUUGGUGAGGUAACGGCUCACCAAGGCCACGAUGCAUAGCCGACCUGAGAGGGUGAUCGGCCACAUUGGGACUGAGACACGGCCCAAACUCCUACGGGAGGCAGCAGUAGGGAAUCUUCGGCAAUGGACGAAAGUCUGACCGAGCAACGCCGCGUGAGUGAAGAAGGUUUUCGGAUCGUAAAACUCUGUUGUUAGAGAAGAACAAGGAUGAGAGUAACUGUUCAUCCCUUGACGGUAUCUAACCAGAAAGCCACGGCUAACUACGUGCCAGCAGCCGCGGUAAUACGUAGGUGGCAAGCGUUGUCCGGAUUUAUUGGGCGUAAAGCGAGCGCAGGCGGUUUCUUAAGUCUGAUGUGAAAGCCCCCGGCUCAACCGGGGAGGGUCAUUGGAAACUGGGAGACUUGAGUGCAGAAGAGGAGAGUGGAAUUCCAUGUGUAGCGGUGAAAUGCGUAGAUAUAUGGAGGAACACCAGUGGCGAAGGCGGCUCUCUGGUCUGUAACUGACGCUGAGGCUCGAAAG
rnacentral:rRNA from 1 species